rnacentral:ncRNA from 2 species
UCAAUUUUAAGGGAGGGUGUUCCACCGGAUAAGCCGACAGCGACGGGGAAGAUGGUGCGAAGCCAUCACGGUGCCGCCACUGUAAGCGGGGAGUGAUCCUGUAAGUCGCCACUGCACCCCCACCCAUCCCUCCCCCCUCGAGGGGGAGGGUGAGGGAGGGGGCCGGGAAGGCGCAGGAGAGCCGCGAUCCGCGAGUCAGGAGACCCAACUGCCGGGCGAUUCCACU